GCUAUUUUCCUAUUAAUCAAAGAGUUAUUUUGAUUAUCUGUGUCUUUCAAUCUUUAGAGCUAAAAAAAGAAGACUAUAUUAUCAUUUAUCUUUAUAUAUUCUUCAUUUUUUAUAUUAUUAAUAUAUUAUUAAAUAAUAUAAAUUUAUUAAAUAAAUAAUAUAAAUUAUUAAUAAACUGGAAACCACAAAACACCACCGGACGCCGCUAGAAGCAUCCUGCAACCAGUACCGUCACAUUUGUCACUGUUGGAAGGAGAUCUGAAGCAGUGAGCGAUGGAGAUCUGGUUGAUGAGUCACUUCGCUUGUCGACGCCCCCAUCUGAUUCACCGAGAGAUCCGGUCAUCGACUGCAUCUGUUCCCUCCUCGCUCCUCCCUCUUCGCCAUCGACUGCAUCUGCUCCUUCCUCGCUCAUCCUCUCCGCCAUCGUUUCUUUAAAGGUUUCAGGUGUGGCGGUGGUUCACUUUACUUGUUUUCCUCCAUUCUUGUCACUAUGGCGGGGGUAUUUGUUUUAAGCUAAUCCAAUUCUCAUUCUAUUCGGCUGGGUUUUCUUCUGGAGGGGCUCCUUUUUGUUUCUGUGUGGCGAUUUUUGCGUUUCUUAUGACAUACGUGGCGUUUUUUUGGGGUUUAGGUAUUGCAAGUCGCUUCUUUGAAUUUCCCUCUUCUGACUUCUCAUCUCUUGUCGUCUUCUUUCUCUGUGUUUUGUUGUUCUUUCAUGUAAUACAUUCCUCCAUUGAUAUUCCGUCAUCUAUGAUUUCCCUUUCUAUGACCUUUGAUUUCCUAUAUUUCGUUAUUCUCUGUUUCUCUCUUAUGUCUGACGUCUGUUUGUAGAGAUUGUCCUCCCUGCUGUCCUCUUUCUUCUUCCUCAGCUUUGCGUCUGGGCUUUUACAGGUAAUACUUUUGCCAUUGAUCACUGCUACUUUCUGUGAUCUAUCUAUACAAGUUCUGCAAUGGAGGUCACUACAUUUAACUAGACAUUCCCAGAUGCCGAGUUUCCGGUUUGAGACAAAAUUGCUGCUGUUGUCAGACUCAGCUAUGGAAUCGAUAUUUCGAUCAAGGUAUGGAUGUCAGAAGAAGUUUUUUUAGUUUGAACCACUUUUUGUAACUUAAAUUAGAGAAACUUAUAAUACUAUAUACCUAUUAAUUAGAAUUAUGAAGAAAAAGAAUAUUUUGAAACCAAGUGGCAGCCCAGCCAAAUAAAGUUUGAAUUGAAGAAACAAAACUCAUAUACAAAUUUACACCAACUUAGUUUUUUGCUUACUAGAUUGAGGAAAUUGUCGAUAUUCAUAAGCAAAUCUAGAUACAUAAAACACACAGAAUAUAACUCGGAUUUCCAUAGCCACUAUGCUUGCUAAAAAGAAAUCUCCUAUUACUAGCAGUGUAGCUGCAAUGUGUAUCCCAUAACUACUCUUUAUUUUUCUAUAUUGUGUAAUUAUUUUUGGCAAAGAACUCACAGGAUUGUAUGAGAGUAUGAUAUGAGCCCAAAUAUUCGCAACAAAUGAACAUCAAAAUUGACCAAAUCUAUGAUAGAAUCUUACCUAUAGGAGAACGGCGACUACGAAGAACUUCAUGGAAUUGUGAACGGAGGUUGGCUGCUGAUUCGAUGGACUCCAUCUUCUGAAAUUCCGACAAGCAACGGUGAUGUGAACACGUUGAUGUGAUGUGUUGUGUUUAUAUUUAUAGUAGAGUAAUUGCGAUACGGGAGCAGGUGAGAGUGAUGGAACAUCUCCGGUAUGUGGUGGUUGUACUUGUAGGUGAUAGUGCGAAUGGAGAGAACAAAUUACUGAAAUGGCCCUUGUGGUUUGCAAAAAUUUCACGUUUGGUUCCUAAGUAUUCUUUUGCACUUGGACGGUCUGUAAGUUUUUAUUUUAUUGUGUUUUUCAUACCUCAUGGAGCUAAAAAAGACUAUAUUAUCCUUUAUCUUUAUAUUUUCAAAAUUUUAUAUUAUUAGUUUACUAUUGAAUAAUAUAAAUUAUUAAAUAAACUUGAAAUUGGACCCACCUAAAACCCUACACCCCUCACGUCCUCUCACAUUUCAGUUGGUCGACGUUGCGAAUCAGCGACCGCUGCCGGAAAACACCAGGAAACCACUAGACCGCCGAUCCGAGCUCUAAAUCGACUGAUUUGCUCCAUCAACCACUGAUCUUCAUAACCGGACACCACUAGAAGCAUUCUGCGACCAAUAUUUUUCACUAUUGGAUGGAGAUUUGAAGCAGUGCUGGAUGGAGAUCUGGUUCAUGAGUUACUUCUCUUCUUCUCGACGCCUCCAUCUGAUCCACUGAGAGAUCCGGUCAUCUAUUGCAUCUGCACCCUCCUCGCUCAUCCUCUUCGCCAUCAGUUUAUAAAGGGUUCAAGGGUGGCGGUGGUUUACUUUACUUGUCUUCCUCCAUUCUUGUCACUAUGGCGGGCGUAGCUUCAUGACACCGUAGUGGAUUCGGUGGUCAUUGCUUCAUGUUACUAUGGUGUUGGUGGCUUCACGACGAUGAUGACAACAAAUCUAGAAGCUUUUAGUUUUUAGUAGCGGUUUUCAGGCGACGAAGGGAGAGAUGUUUUCAAGGGAGGCGGUGUUUUCAGAAAGAUAAGAGACAACGAUGGUGGUGGUUUCAUUUAGGAUAUACAUCGAGUAAAUUAUGAAAACCGUUUGUUUCAUUUAGGAUAUGUAUUAUUUAAAUUGUAAAAAUUGGUUGUUUCAUUUAGGAUAUGCAUUAUGUAAAUUAUGAAAAUCGUUUGUUUCAUUUACGAUAUUCAUCGAGUAAAUUACGAAAAUCGUUUGUUUCA